GUAAGCAUAGUUUAAACAAAACAUUAGAUUGUGAUUCUAAAAAUAGAAGCUAAAACCUCCUUGCCUACC
rnacentral:tRNA from 1 species